UCUUGACAUUUUUUUGUUCAUUUAAAAACAUAGGGGCAACGGAAUUGGUGUACGUGGGUUCGAUUCCCACCCUAGGCAUUCAUUUAUAUCGGCUGGUGCAAAGCGGGCAGUUUAGCUUAGUGGCCCCACAUUGACUCUGUUGUUCAUAUGUCAAUUAAAAAAUUCAGGCGGCCUCGUUCAGGUCUUGCCAUCUUUGUUUUUCUUUUCGAAAAUCAUACACAACAAAAC
rnacentral:lncRNA from 1 species